AGAGUUUGAUCCUGGCUCAGGACGAACGCUGGCGGCGUGCCUAAUACAUGCAAGUAGAACGCUGAAGAGAGGAGCUUGCUCUUCUUGGAUGAGUUGCGAACGGGUGAGUAACGCCGUAGGUAACCUGCCUUGUAGCGGGGGAUAACUAUUGGAAACGAUAGCUAAUACCGCAUAACAAUGGAUGACCCAUGUCAUUUAUUUGAAAGGGGCAAAUGCUCCACUACAAGAUGGACCUGCGUUGUAUUAGCUAGUAGGUGAGGUAACGGCUCACCUAGGCGACGAUACAUAGCCGACCUGAGAGGGUGAUCGGCCACACUGGGACUGAGACACGGCCCAGACUCCUACGGGAGGCAGCAGUAGGGAAUCUUCGGCAAUGGGGGCAACCCUGACCGAGCAACGCCGCGUGAGUGAAGAAGGUUUUCGGAUCGUAAAGCUCUGUUGUAAGUCAAGAACGAGUGUGAGAGUGGAAAGUUCACACUGUGACGGUAGCUUACCAGAAAGGGACGGCUAACUACGUGCCAGCAGCCGCGGUAAUACGUAGGUCCCGAGCGUUGUCCGGAUUUAUUGGGCGUAAAGCGAGCGCAGGCGGUUUGAUAAGUCUGAAGUUAAAGGCUGUGGCUCAACCAUAGUUCGCUUUGGAAACUGUCAAACUUGAGUGCAGAAGGGGAGAGUGGAAUUCCAUGUGUAGCGGUGAAAUGCGUAGAUAUAUGGAGGAACACCGGUGGCGAAAGCGGCUCUCUGGUCUGUAACUGACGCUGAGGCUCGAAAGCGUGGGGAGCGAACAGGAUUAGAUACCCUGGUAGUCCACGCCGUAAACGAUGAGUGCUAGGUGUUGGAUCCUUUCCGGGAUUCAGUGCCGCAGCUAACGCAUUAAGCACUCCGCCUGGGGAGUACGACCGCAAGGUUGAAACUCAAAGGAAUUGACGGGGGCCCGCACAAGCGGUGGAGCAUGUGGUUUAAUUCGAAGCAACGCGAAGAACCUUACCAGGUCUUGACAUCCCGAUGCUAUUUCUAGAGAUAGAAAGUUACUUCGGUACAUCGGUGACAGGUGGUGCAUGGUUGUCGUCAGCUCGUGUCGUGAGAUGUUGGGUUAAGUCCCGCAACGAGCGCAACCCCUAUUGUUAGUUGCCAUCAUUCAGUUGGGCACUCUAGCGAGACUGCCGGUAAUAAACCGGAGGAAGGUGGGGAUGACGUCAAAUCAUCAUGCCCCUUAUGACCUGGGCUACACACGUGCUACAAUGGUUGGUACAACGAGUUGCGAGUCGGUGACGGCAAGCUAAUCUCUUAAAGCCAAUCUCAGUUCGGAUUGUAGGCUGCAACUCGCCUACAUGAAGUCGGAAUCGCUAGUAAUCGCGGAUCAGCACGCCGCGGUGAAUACGUUCCCGGGCCUUGUACACACCGCCCGUCACACCACGAGAGUUUGUAACACCCGAAGUCGGUGAGGUAACCUUUUGGAGCCAGCCGCCUAAGGUGGGAUAGAUGAUUGGGGUGAAGUCGUAACAAGGUAGCCGUAUCGGAAGGUGCGGCUGGAUCACCU
rnacentral:rRNA from 1 species